GAUGAACGCUAGCUACAGGCUUAACACAUGCAAGUCGAGGGGCAGCGGGAUUGUAGCAAUACAAUUGCCGGCGACCGGCGCACGGGUGAGUAACACGUAUCCAACCUUCCGGUUACUCGGGGAUAGCCUUUCGAAAGAAAGAUUAAUACCCGAUAGUAUAAAUUUUCCGCAUGGUUUGUUUAUUAAAGAUUCAUCGGUAACCGAUGGGGAUGCGUUCCAUUAGAUAGUAGGCGGGGUAACGGCCCACCUAGUCGACGAUUGGUAGCCGGACUGAGAGGUUGAACGGCCACAUUGGGACUGAGACACGGCCCAGACUCCUACGGGAGGCAGCAGUGGGGGAUAUUGCACAAUGGGGGAAACCCUGAUGCAGCGACGCGCGUGGAGGAAGAAGGUUUUCGGAUUGUAAACUCCUGUCGUUAGGGACGAUAAUGACGGUACCUAACAAGAAAGC
rnacentral:rRNA from 1 species